UGGGGAAUAUUGCACAAUGGGGGAAACCCUGAUGCAGCGACGCCGCGUGAACGAAGAAGGUAUUCGUAUCGUAAAGUUCUGUCCUAUGGGAAGAUAAUGACAGUACCAUAGAAGAAAGCUCCGGGUAAAUACGUGCCAGCAGCCGCGGUAAUACGUAUGGAGCGAGCGUUGUCCGGAAUUAUUGGGCGUAAAGGGUACGCAGGCGGUUUAAUAAGUCGAAUGUUAAAGAUCGGGGCUCAACCCCGUAAAGCAUUGGAAACUGAUAAACUUGAGUAGUGGAGAGGAAAGUGGAAUUCCUAGUGUAGUGGUGAAAUACGUAGAUAUUAGGAGGAAUACCAGUAGCGAAGGCGACUUUCUGGACACAAACUGACGCUGAGGUACGAAAGCGUGGGGAGCAAACAGG
rnacentral:rRNA from 1 species